CUGUGGUGGGACAACAGAUUUCCACAGAGUUGGACAGCUUUUCACUCUCUCCUUCGCUCCCCAGACCACCCAAUCACAAUGUCCCCCUGAGCAUCAAGCCCCCAGGUGUCCCGCCCAGCUCCUCGGCUGAUUGGCUGAGGAACCAUGGACUGAAAGCUAAGAGACUGGGGCUGUACCAGGUUCUGUCUCCCAAUGCCUAUUCUCUACUGGAGGGGUUUGUUCCUAUCCUGAACAAGACUGUCAGCUCAACAGUC